UGCCGGCGGUUCUUCUAUCCACACCUCCACGAUCACACCAUUCAACAAUCUCUGGUAACUACCCCUAUUCUAACAUAUAUACUUGUGUGAAGUUAUUCUAUGAUGGCUUAUUGCUAUAAACACACAGUUCUCUCCUCUGUUCCUCGAACCCGAUGUGGACAUGCAAAGCUUCUUCUCUAAAAUAAAUUGUUAGUUCAUAUCAUUUAUUUCUGUUUUACUCUUUCUUAAUAUCUUUGGAUCUCGUUCUUUUCUCUACUUCCACUAUGGCUUUUAUUUAUCAAGGCUCAUUCGCUCACAUGCAAGGUUUUCUUAAAAAACUCAAGAUUCCAAAAUAUGUGAAACGAUCAAACAAAAUUUAACACUACCGAUCAACAAAAACUAAAUUACAGAUUUCAGAGUUGGAGAGCAAAUACAUUUGUCUAUACUAUAAUGAAUUUCUGGCACAAGAACCAACAGUAUGUAAUACUAUAAAUAUGUUUCCAGUGUAUACGGUUUUGUGUUUAUAAAACAAGUAGAUAUCAAU